GCAGUGGCUCAGCACACUAGAAGGCCACCAUGCACGAGCCCUGUGGACCCAACAGUAGCUGAUCACAUGGUAGCCUGACCCCUCUUAGCCAAAAGCUAUUCUGAAAGCCGCGCCGGCUCUCUGCAGCUACUUAGAACUAUCCAGACCUGCUUUCCUAAACCAAAUCCGUCAGGAGAGGGUCAGGAGUGGAUCAGAAGAGGGUAGUUUAGCAUGCCAGUACUGUUGAGUGAGACAACUCUUAAGAGUUGUCCAGACCUGGGAAAAACUGCUAUGGCACCUCAUUCAUGUGUUGACUGCACCACCUUAAGCUCCUCUGGGGGUGUCCAGGACCAAGCAAAGAAACUGGCUGUUUUUCCUUGAGCCUUUCCUAGUGGCUUGUUGCUUAAGCCGAAGUAGUCACUGACCUUGCCCAGACCUCCCAGUGAGCUGCCACUGGAUCAGAGUGAUGGAGCAAAGCUGUUCUCCUAGCAACGGAAGCACCACACAACCGCUGUAGAGUGGCUUUCUGCCAGGCUACUUCUUGAAUAAACACAACAGAGGCCGAGUGA